GAUGAACGCUGGCGGCGUGCUUAAUACAUGCAAGUCGAGCGAACGGACGAGAAGCUUGCUUCUUUGUUGUUAGCGGCGGACGGGUGAGUAACACGUGGAUAAUCUACCUAUCAGACUGGGAUAAUUUCGGGAAACCGGCGCUUAUCCCGGAUAAUAUUUUGAUCCGCAGGGUUCAAUAGUGAAAGACGGUCUUGCUGUCUCUAAUAGAUGGAUCUCCGCUGCAUUAGCUAGUUGGUAAGGUAACGGCUUACCAAGGCGACGAUGCGUAGCCGACCUGAGAGAGUGAUAGCCCACCCGGGAGGUGAGACACGGUCCUGGCUCCUACGGGAGGCAGCAGUAGGGAAUGGUCCGCAAUGGGCGGAAGCCUGACGGAGCAGCGCCGCGUGAGUGAUGGAGGUCUUCGGAUCGUAAAACUCUGUUAUUAGGGAUGAACAGAUGUGUAAGUAGCUGUGCACAGCGUGACGGUACCGAAUCAGAAAGCCACGGCUAACUACGUG
rnacentral:rRNA from 1 species